CCUAGCUUGCUAGGUGGAUUAGUGGCGCACGGGUGAGUAAUAUAUAGAUAACGUGCCUCUUAGUCUGGGAUAGCCAUUGGAAACGAUGAUUAAUACUAGAUACUCCUUCUAACUCUAAUGUUAGUUGGGAAAGUUUUUCGCUAAGAGAUCGGUCUAUAUCCCAUCAGCUAGUUGGUAGUGUAAGAGACUACCAAGGCAAUGACGGGUAGCGGGUUUGAGAGGAUGAUCCGCCACACUGGUACUGAGACACGGACCAGACUCCUACGGGAGGCAGCAGCGAGGAAUAUUGCACAAUGGAGGAAACUCUGAUGCAGCAACGCCGCGUGGAGGAUGACGCAUUUCGGUGUGUAAACUCCUUUUAUAUGUCAAGAAAAUGACGGUAGCAUAUGAAUAAGCACCGGCUAACUCCGUGCCAGCAGCCGCGGUAAUACGGAGGGUGCAAGCGUUAUUCGGAAUCACUGGGCGUAAAGGACGCGUAGGCGGGAUGCCAAGUCUGAUGU
rnacentral:rRNA from 1 species